rnacentral:rRNA from 1 species
UGCCAGCCGCCGCGGUAACACGGAGGGUGCGAGCGUUGUUCGGAAUCACUGGGCGUAAAGCGCGCGUAGGCGGUUGUGUAAGUCGCUUGUGAAAUACCGGGGCUCAACUCCGGGACUGCAGGCGAUACUGCGUAACUAGAGCACGGUAGAGGCAAGUGGAAUUCCCGGUGUAGCGGUGGAAUGCGUAGAUAUCGGGAAGAACGCCAAUUGCGAAGGCAGCUUACUAAGCUACGAUUGACGCUGAGGCACGAAAGCGUGGGGAGCGAACAGGAUUAGAUA